CACAUGCAAGUCGAACGGCAGCACGGGUGCUUGCACCUGGUGGCGAGUGGCGAACGGGUGAGUAAUACAUCGGAACAUGUCCUGUAGUGGGGGAUAGCCCGGCGAAAGCCGGAUUAAUACCGCAUACGAUCUACGGAUGAAAGCGGGGGACCUUCGGGCCUCGCGCUAUAGGGUUGGCCGAUGGCUGAUUAGCUAGUUGGUGGGGUAAAGGCCUACCAAGGCGACGAUCAGUAGCUGGUCUGAGAGGACGACCAGCCACACUGGGACUGAGACACGGCCCAGACUCCUACGGGAGGCAGCAGUGGGGAAUUUUGGACAAUGGGCGAAAGCCUGAUCCAGCAAUGCCGCGUGUGUGAAGAAGGCCUUCGGGUUGUAAAGCACUUUUGUCCGGAAAGAAAUCCUUGGUUCUAAUAUAGCCGGGGGAUGACGGUACCGGAAGAAUAAGCACCGGCUAACUACGUGCCAGCAGCCGCGGUAAUACGUAGGGUGCGAGCGUUAAUCGGAAUUACUGGGCGUAAAGCGUGCGCAGGCGGUUUGCUAAGACCGAUGUGAAAUCCCCGGGCUCAACCUGGGAACUGCAUUGGUGACUGGCAGGCUAGAGUAUGGCAGAGGGGGGUAGAAUUCCACGUGUAGCAGUGAAAUGCGUAGAGAUGUGGAGGAAUACCGAUGGCGAAGGCA
rnacentral:rRNA from 1 species